AUUAUCAAUGUGGAUAAUAUUCGUCUUCAAAUAACUGCAGAAGCGGUAUAUUCUUUGAUAGACGGCAAAGCUGCUAAUGCUAUCGUCGGCAAAAAAAAUACCCACGCCUGCCCAGUGUGUAUUUCAGGACCAGAUGGAGUUAUAGGUCAAUCAUAUUUUCACUUCCGGUGGAACUCCACGGAAUCCAGCAUUGAAACAUCCGGAAGUGCAGUCAGAGCAUAGAAGAAUUUCAAACGAACUUGAAGAUCGUUUCAAAGCGCAGGUUAACCGACCAAAGCCAGGUGGAUGUGGAAGCUCGAAUAACGGAAAUCUUGCUCGCCUUCUACUCUCCGAUCCUACAGCGUUUUCUGAUAUUUUGGGAAUAAAUAGAAAAUUGGUGGAAAAUUCAAGAAUAAUAAGCAGUUUGGCACUCUCAUCGCAAAGGCUCGAACCCGAGAAAGUUAAAAUUUUGUACGAGGAGUUAGAAAGAAACAUACUGACAGAAUUCCCUUUUAUAAAAAAGUUGCCACCUUGCUUGCAUAAGUACAAACACUUAUCGGAGUACAUCACCAAAUUGCCUUACACUAUGAAUUUUGUUGAUGAGCAGGCAGGUGAACGCAUGCACAAACGGCAUAAAUUUUCGAGGCCUAACCUAGCCCGAAAAACAACUCCGGAAGAUAACAUGUACGAUAUAAUGGUUGCAGCUUUGGCGUGGUCUGACAUCAAAAUAUCGUACACUACGUUUAAAAAA